rnacentral:rRNA from 1 species
CCAGACUCCUACGGGAGGCAGCAGUGAGGAAUAUUGGUCAAUGGGCGUAAGCCUGAACCAGCCAAGUCGCGUGAGGGAUGAAGGAUCUAUGGUUCGUAAACCUCUUUUAUAAGGGAAUAAAGUGCGGGACGUGUCCUGUUUUGUAUGUACCUUAUGAAUAAGGAUCGGCUAACUCCGUGCCAGCAGCCGCGGUAAUACGGAGGAUCCGAGCGUUAUCCGGAUUUAUUGGGUUUAAAGGGUGCGUAGGCGGCCUUUUAAGUCGGGGGGGAAAGUCUGGGGCUCAACCAUAGAAUGGCGGUUGAAAGGGGGGGGCUUGAGUAUGUGGGAGGCGGGCGGAAGGCGUGGUGGGGCGGUGAA